rnacentral:miRNA from 1 species
AUCUUUGUUCUUUCUCCAAUGCAUAUUCUUAGCACCAUUUGACAAAGGUGCUAAGAAUAUGCAUUGGAGAAAGAACAAUCUUCUC